UUUCCGUAGGUGAACCUGCGGAAGGAUCAUUACAGAGUUCAUGCCCUCACGGGUAGAUCUCCCACCCUUGAAUAUUUAUACCUUAGUUGCUUUGGCAGGCCGUGGAAACACCAUGGGCUCCGGCUUAUGCGUGCCUGCCAGAGGAAACAAACUCUGUUUUUAGAGAUGUCUGAGUACUAUAUAAUAGUUAAAACUUUCAACAACGGAUCUCUUGGUUCUG
rnacentral:misc_RNA from 1 species